rnacentral:lncRNA from 1 species
AAUGGACUGUGUCACUUAUAAGUUAGUUUAAAACAUCCUGUUAAAGCAGAUUGAGGUACAGUUUCUUCUGUUCUUGUCAGUUGUUCUCCUUUGGAAAGGACCUAAGAAAUACUGAGUAAAUUAAGCGGAGGUGUUUAGUGCAGGCCCUAUCCUCAUUCCGGACAGUGAAUAGUAAAAGGAACCAGGAACGUGGUCCACUCUGAAACAACCAUGCCUUGGUGAACUCGGGCAUCACUCUGAACAUCGUUUGCUGGGGAGCCAACCUGGGGCAUUGUGCCCUGCAAUGUCAGUGAUGGACUCACUCAAGCCCCUCUUGCUUAUAGUGCCUAUUUGUGUAUUUUAACAUGCACACAAAGAAAAGCAAUCUGAUAAGACUGAUCUAAGAUAGUCCUGAGAUACCAGAAGGGGAAAUAAUUAAUAUCACAAACAACUGCUUCACAAACUGCCCAGCAGUUUGUCUUCACGACUACAUUUGUUGUUCUCAGCAGGUUUUGAUGGAACUGAAAAAUGUGACCUUAAGACUAAUUUUAUGAAGCAGCUGCUAGACUUAACUUUCAGAGCUUGCCUGCUCCCAUGAUGACUCAGGAACAUUCCUCUUCCUAAUGAGCCUCCUCCUUUCCCCCUUUUUCCAGACAUAGCGUAGUCCCUCCAACCUGUGCACAGUGCCCUGUAUUACGAACCUAUUC